rnacentral:rRNA from 1 species
UACGUAGGUGACCAGCGUUGUCCGGAUUUACUGGGCGUAAAGAGCGCGCAGGCGGUCGUUCAAGUCGAGUGUGAAAGCCCCCGGCUCAACUGGGGAGGGUCACUUGAUACUGAUCGACUCGAAGGCAGGAGAGGGGAAGCGGAAUUCCCGGUGUAGUGGUGAAAUGCGUAGAUAUCGGGAGGAACACCAGUGGCGAAGGCGGCUUUCUGGUCUGUAACUGACGCUGAGGCGCGAAAGCGUGGGGGAGCAAACAGG